rnacentral:rRNA from 1 species
AAACUUUCAACAAUGGAUCUCUUGGUUCCGGCAUCGAUGAAGAACGCAGCGAACUGCGAUAAGUAAUGUGAAUUGCAGAAUU